rnacentral:lncRNA from 1 species
UUCAGAGGAGGGAAUUAUUUUAACCGUAAAAUCGGUCAUUUAGCCAAAAAGCAUCUUGUUUAACGAAAGUUAAAACAUUUAAAAUAUGAUGAAGCUGAUAUAAAGCAUUGUUUUAAACUGACUAAUUGUUUGCAGUAUGAUUUUAUGGUAGUUUUUAUUGUAUCAUGACUAGGGUUGCAAAGAGGUGGAAAUUUUCCAAUAAAUUUCCAGAAACCUUCCAUGGGAAGUUGAGCGCAGGAAUUUUGGAAAUAAUCCAAAUCGGAAACUUUCCAUGGGAGUUAUUGGAAUUAUUGGGAAUUAUUGGGAAUUAUUGGGAAUUUAUGGGAAUUAACUGGAAAUUGGGGGUAUUUUAAAAAACACUAUCAUACCCAAACAUAAAUGUAAAUGAAUUUGUUUUGUCAUAAGCAGACAUCCAUGCAAAAUAAUACAACUGAUGGUGAUGAACAAUGGCAUGAACAGAAAUCUAGUUGGCUAAACAACUGCAUAGUCUUCAAAAUAUUUGAUAGUUGAUGUAUAAAUUAUUGUGCAGUUACAGAAAACUAUCUUGCAGGAGUCAGAAGAAACAACAUCACAUUUGAGGUAGCUACCACCACCAAAAUAAGCGAGCCCCUUAAUUGGUCAAUGAAAUAAAAAAUAGCUUACAUUUAACACCAAUUUUUAUUUGAUUUUUACAGUUCAAUAUUAAUACUAUUAUAGGUCUAAUAUAUUUACUCCAUAAUAUUAUCAAAACCUACUUGACUUUAUAUAGUCUGUGGGCCCAAAUGUCUUGUGCUUUGGGCUCAAAAGUGUGGCCUCCAGGGUUCAAGAAAUUAUCUGUGCAUGUGAUGGAGGAAAGCACGGAACAUGUAAGAGGUGUGGCCUCAAUAGCCCUGCAGUAGGCAGUGUGCUGUGUGCAUGUGAUCGAGGAGUGUACUACCAUUAAAUGUGGUUGUUUUAGCCAAGAUUAUGCUACAGUAUAUUUUCCCCAACUAUAUUUAAGUUCCCUGUUGAGGGCCAACCUUCAAUUUCGUAAAUUUCCGAUUUAUUCCCAUUAAUUCUUGUUAAUUCCCAUAUAUUCCUGUUUAUUUCCAUGGAAUAGUUCCAACUCUGAAAAUUCCAGGAGUUUUGCAACCCUAAUCAUGACAAAUCUGUGGAUGGGGUUGGGUUGUGAAAAAUGUGAAGGUGAACCAUAGACCCUAUAUACUAUGGACAACUCGGUUCCGCCUCCUGCCUGUAUACAGAUUUAAAGCCAAAUAGCUCUUGGUAUUUCCGGGAUUUUUCUUCAUUUCCUGAAACCAGUGCUGCGCAGUAGCUUUGUGCGCACUCGGCGGGAGAGUCACCGAGAGUCACUGUGAUGAUGCUCGGCUCGAACAGCGUAUCCCCCAUCUGAACUAUGCAAUCACUGAACGCCAAUAGGCUGUAUCAGGUGUCAAUCAAAGAAAACAUGAACCCCCUAAAAACUUUUAAAGACCGAGCUUCACAGAAAAAAGAGGACUUGAGCACAAACCAGUCUGACAAUAACUACACGUCAACAUCGCAACCAGGGGGGAGAAAAUUUUAUAUUUUGUGUAAUAAACUUCUAAAGAUUGUCCACAACUCCAUAGGGAUUGCUGGAGGAGGCGGGGUUUAUGAUCCAAACUGCAGCCCGCAGCUAGAGGGUGCUGUUCUCGAAGUGGCUUCACCCAGCAAGGAGGCAGACGCUGUCCAUUCUAUCAUAUCAUACAGUCCAUGAGUUGAACGCACAAACGUCCUGCAGUACUCCCCCCAGCCAAUGAGGUCGCUGUGAUGCCAC